CUGGGUCCCUGACAAACAAGGCAAAGGAGCUCUGGGGGUGAAGGCUUAAGUGGGGAAGCACGGAAGCUUUAUCCUCUAUGAUGUCAUCACAGAAGUCUAGCGGCCAAAGUGAUCUGUGCUUCCUGAAGGCCCCUGUGGAGAGACCAGUCCUGGUUCAGAUCAAGCCCUGCCUGAGGCUGGGGCUGGUCAGCUUCUGACCCUCUGGUAGAGAGGUGGAAUUCAGGGGUGAAGAGAGGCCAGCCAACCUCGGAAGCUCUCAGACCUGGAUUCAAGUCCUGCCUUUAGCACAUCUCCAAAGGUUAGAGUGGGAAGGGACCUCAGUGGCCAACUAGCUCAAGUCCCCUGGGUGUGUGCUAGAGGAUACCCGAGGCAGCCCAUUCCACGUGUGGACGGUGCUCAGCACUCGGGAGACUUUCCUGACCUUCAUCUGAAACUGGCCUCGGCAACUUCUCACUGACUGUUUUACUGACUGUUUGUCCCACUGGGGCCGAGCAGAACCAGUCCAGUCUCUUCUCCACGUGACGGACCUUUACAUCCUGGAUGACCCUAACACGAUCCCUCCUAGUCUUCUCUUCUCCACACUAAACAUUCCCAGCUCCUUCACAUGAACAAAAUAAUAACCGCAAUGAUUAUUAAUAAUUAUUCCAUCAGAAUA